rnacentral:rRNA from 1 species
UUUUAUAGGAUAUUACUUUUCAGUGAAUACAUAGCUGAUUAGAGGUAGACGCAGAGAACUGAAACAUCUUAGUACCUGCAGGAAGAGAAAGAAAAUUCGAUUCCCUGAGUAGCGGCGAGCGAAACGGGAAGAGCCCAAACCAACAAGCUUGCUUGUUGGGGUUGUAGGACUCCGAUAUGGUAGUCUGUUAGUAUAGUUGAAGGAUUUGGAAAAUUCCGCUAAAGAGGGUGAAAGCCCCGUAGACGAAAUGCUGACAACACCUAGGAGGAUCCUGAGUACGGCGGAACACGAGAAAUUCCGUCGGAAUCCGCGGGGACCAUCCCGCAAGGCUAAAUACUCCCUAGUGACCGAUAGUGAACCAGUACCGUGAGGGAAAGGUGAAAAGCACCCCGGAAGGGGAGUGAAAUAGAUCCUGAAACCGUGUGCCUACAACAAGUCAAAGCUCGUUAAUGAGUGAUGGCGUGCCUUUUGUAGAAUGAACCGGCGAGUUACGAUUGCAUGCGAGGUUAAGUCGAAGAGACGGAGCCGCAGCGAAAGCGAGUCUGAAUAGGGCGAAU